CAAAUUAUAAUUAUAGAUUAACAAAUAUAAUGAAACAUCAAUCAAAUUCAAUCAAAAUUUCAAAAUAAUUAAAUAAAAAGCCAAAAAUUACUCUUAAAAAUUCUUUAAAGAAUCAAAAAAAAAUAACAUAGAAAUUUAAAAAUAUAUUAAAAUAAAAAACUUAAUUAAAUUCUAGUCAAAUCUUAACCAAAUCCUAAACAGAUCCAAAACAAAUCGUGGUCAAAUCCUAAAUAAACUCUAGUCAAAUUCUAAUAAAUCCUAAUCAAUUUCUAGUCAAAUCUUAAAUAAAUCUUAACCAAAUCUUUAUCAAACCUUAAUCAAAUCCUAAAAAAAUCCUAAGUAUAUUUUAAUCAUAUCUUAGUCAAAUCUUAAACAAAUCCUAACCAAAUCCAAUUCAAAUUCUAAACAAAUCCUAAAUAAAACCUAAUCAAAUCUUAAAAAAAUCCUAGUCAAAUCCUAAACAAAUCAUAAAGAAAUCAUACUCAAAUCUCAACAAAUCCUAAUUAAAUUCUAAUGAAAUUCUAAUCAAAUCCUAAAUAAAUCCUAGUCAAAUCCUACUCAAAUCUUAACCAAAUCCUAGUCAAAUCCUAACAAAUCCUAAUCAAAUUAUAAUCAAAUUCUAAAUGAAUCUUAGUCAAACUUUAAACAAAUUUUUACUAAAUUCUAAUCAAACUCUAACCAAAUCCUAGUCAAAUCUUAAUAAAUC
rnacentral:lncRNA from 1 species